UGGUAAAGAAUCCUACAGAUGUCCUCUUUUCAAUGAGGCAGUUUGGGAAGGCUUCCUGAAGGAGGAGGCAUUUAUGGUGAUAAUAAGGAAGAGGACGUAGCCCCUUUAAAAGCUGGGGUCGGGGCUUCUAGGCAGAGGAGACAGCAAGGCGUUUCGGAAACAGAAAGGUGGCCAGUAUGGCUGGGAGCUUUAGAGAUGGGAGUGAUCUAGCCGGCAGGUCCGUCAGGACACGUGCUGGGCUGUGCGGAGAUUUCAUGUUAAGAAUAAUGGGAUGCCAUUGGUGAGGGGUCUGGGACGUGAGCAUCCCAGGCAGUGGUUGGGGCAUGAGGGACUGGCUGUGGGAGUUGAGCAAGGAGGCUUCUAUGUGGUGCAGGCCGGAGAAAGUGCGGGAGAGGGGCUGGCUGGGGUGGGGGUGGCGGGAUGGGCCGAGGCAGGGCUCAGGGUUCGCUGGUGGCUGGGAUGUGUGGUCUGUGGCCUCAGCUGCCGGCUGGCGCUGGCCCGGAGAUGGAGAGGCCAGGAGGGACUGGCUCGGGUCGGGUGCUGGGGAGGGGAGAGGGAGAGAGGGAAGAAAUCGCAGAUCUGAGCUGGCUGCGAGGCAUCUGAAGGCCGGCAGGUGUGGCUGGGCGUUCGGGGAUCCGGGGACGGGGCUUUCCGGUGGGGCCGUGGAGGCAGCAGGCCCUGCGGCCCAGCGAGGAGGAAGCUCUGUGCCGACACCGCCGGGCAGGCCCAGCGGAAGCCACAGGCCUGGAGGAAGUGAACCGCGCGCGUGGCCCCUGCUUUCCCCCGGCCCCUCCAGCCCUCCACGGCUGGGACUUAGCUUUUACUGGGAAGCCGGUGAUCACGAGCUCCGAGACCUUCACCUCCUGGUGUGGAAGAGGCUGCCAGGAGAAAAGAGGAAAUACCUGCCCCCCACUUCCCGGCAGGAUCCCAAAUUUGAGGAACUGCAAAAGGUGCUGAUGGAGUGGAUCAACACCAAGCUCCUCCCCGAGCACAUUGUGGUCCGUAGCUUGGAGGAAGACAUAUUUGAUGGGCUCAUCCUGCACCACCUUUUCCAGAUGCUGACCGGGGUCAAGCUGGAGGUGGAGGAGAUGGCUCUGACCGCCCCGAGCCAGAGGCGCAAGCUGGAGGUGGUGCUGGAGGCCAUCAGCCGCAGUCUGCAGGCGGAGGAAAGGCAGCUCAAGUGGACUGUGGAAGCCAUCUUCAGCAAGGACCUGCUGGCCACCUUGCAUCUGCUCGUGGCCUUGGCCAAGCAUUUCCAGCCUGACCUGCGCCUCCCGACCAACGUCCAGGUGGAUGUGAUCACCAUGGAGAGCACCAAAAGUGGUCUGAAGUCAGAGAAGUCAGUGGAACAGCUCACUGACUGCAGCACAGACCAGGACCAACCUGCAAAGGACGUCUUUGAUGAAUUAUUUAAGCUGGCCCCGGAGAAAGUGAACGCGGUGAAAGAGGCCAUUGUGAACUUCGUCAACCAGAAGCUGGACCGCCUGGGCCUGUCUGUGCAGAACCUGGACACCCAGUUUGCAGACGGGGUCUUCUUACUCCUGCUGAUCGGACAGCUGGAGGGCUUCUUCCUGCACUUGAAGGAGUUCUACCUCACUCCCGCCUCUCCUGCAGAAAUGCAAGACUUACCUCUAGGCAUCACCUCCUCCAGGAAGACUUCCCUGACUUCCAGACCUCUCCAUACCUGCCUUCCCCACUAGAGAUGUCUCCUUGAACUGCACAACGUCACCCUGGCCCUGGAGUUGCUGAAGGACGAGGGUCUGCUCAACUACCCCAUCGACCCCAAAGACAUUGUGAACAAGGACACCAAAAGCACGCUGCGGGUCCUGUAUAGCUUGUUUCAAAAGCAC